rnacentral:tRNA from 1 species
UCCCUGGUGGCUCAGACGGUAAAGCGUCUGCCUGCAAUGCAGGGGACCCGGGUUCAGUCCCUGGCUUGGGAA